rnacentral:rRNA from 1 species
GAUGAACGCUGGCGGCGUGCUUAACACAUGCAAGUCGAACGAUGAAGCCCAGCUUGCUGGGUGGAUUAGUGGCGAGCGGGUGAGUAACACGUGAGUAACCUGCCCUUAACUCUGGGAUAAGCCUGGGAAACUAGGUCUAAUACCGGAUAGGAGCGCCUACCGCAUGGUGGGUGUUGGAAAGAUUUAUCGGUUUUGGAUGGACUCGCGGCCUAUCAGCUUGUUGGUGAGGUAAUGGCUCACCAAGGCGACGACGGGUAGCCGGCCUGAGAGGGUGACCGGCCACACUGGGACUGAGACACGGCCCAGACUCCUACGGGAGGCAGCAGUGGGGAAUAUUGCACAAUGGGCGCAAGCCUGAUGCAGCGACGCCGCGUGAGGGAUGACGGCCUUCGGGUUGUAAACCUCUUUCAGUAGGGAAGAAGCGAAAGUGACGGUACCUGCAGAAGAAGCACCGGCUAACUACGUG